ensembl:misc_RNA 7SK 7SK RNA
GGAUGUGAGGGCAAUCUGGUUGUGACAUCUGUCACCUCAUUGAUUGCGGGGGUUGAUUCAGCUGAUCUGGCUAGCUAGAUGGGUGUCCCAUUUCUACUGCUCCAGCUGCAUCCCAACCACAGCCCUGGGAUUGAUUAGGGCUUCAAUCCUCUAUGGAGGAGGACUGUUCUUCUGUUAAGGGUAUAGCUGUACUGUCUAGGUACUACUGUCAAGGGUAUAGCUUCUGUCAAGGGAGUAGCUGUACUCCCUU